rnacentral:lncRNA from 1 species
UUAAACAUGGUUAUUUAUUUCUUACAAUCUGGCAGCUGGAAAUCAGAGAUCAGCAUAAUUCAGGUAGUUUCCCUCUGGAGGCCUUAGUAGAAACACUUGUGGUAGCCACUUGUCUCCAUUUGCAGAAGGCUGUCUGAAGUUUCCAUGGUCUUCUCUGUGUGCAUCCUGCAGCAUCUUAACCUCUUGAGGACAUUAGUCACUUCUAAUGGACUCAUGGCAACCUCAUUUGCUUUUUAUUAUUUUUAUUUUAUACAUGGUUUGCCUGCACAUAUGCACUCAUGUGUAUGCUGAGUGAUCACAGAGGCCAGAAGGGGCCCAAAUCCCCUUCACCUAGUUAUGAAUGGCUACAAGCUACCAUGUGAGUGCUGGGAACUGAAGCCUGGCUCUCUGAAAGUACAGCAGGUGCCUGUAACUAUUUCAAUCAUCUCUGCAGUCCCUCACUUGAAUUUUUAAAAUGUACUAUUAUUGGGGGGAGUGCAUGCCACAGCAUUCAUGUGGAGGUCAGAGGGCAGCUUUUUAGGAGCCAAUUCUCUCUUUACAAUGUGGGAUUCAGGGAUAGAAAAUGGGUAGUCAGGAGUGUAUGGAGAAUGCUUUUGUUUGAAAAAACAUUUUUUUUUAUUACUGUGGUAUAUGUAGGAGGGUGGGCAGAAACAUGGAGAUGAGAGGUCAACUUUAAGGCAUUAAAUCUUCUACCUUGUUGAGUCAGUCUUCCUCUCUGCCAUGCUACAUAAACUAGCUGGCCUGCAAGGUUGCAGGUGAUCUUGUAGGAAUGCUGAGAAUACAGAUGCAUGCCACUACAUCUGUCUGAUUUACGUGAGUGUGGGUCAGAUUCAAGCUGUCAGACAUUUCCAUCAAGUGCUUUUACCCACUGAGCUAUCUUGCCAGCAUCCACUUUAAUUUUUUUGACAUGGAGUAUUUGUGUUGCUCAGUAUGGCAACACAGCACUGCUCUAAGCUAAGUAUCUAAUUUUCAUAGUUUCUCCCCAGUGUGAGUACCAUCAUGUCUUCAAAGUACAUGAGCACAAACAAGGGCUUCCUCACAUUGCUUCCAUCAAUUAGGCUUCUCUCUAGUGAAUUCUUUCAUGUCUGCGAAGUGAACGAGGAUGACUGUAGGCUUUUCCACACUGCUGACACUUAUAGGGUUUCUCUUCAGUGUGGGUGUGACUUAUUUCAUGAAUCCUGAAGGAACUGGGACAGAUGAAGGCUUUCCCACACUCCUUACAUUCAUAGGGCUUCUCUCCAGUGUGGGUUCUUUCAUGGAUCUGAAAUGAAGUGGAGUGACUGAAGGCUUUCCCACACUGUUUACACUCAUAGGGUUUUUCUCCAGUGUGGAUUCGCAUGUGAAUUUUAAGGUGGGUGGAAUAGUUAAAGGCCUUCCCACAUUCCUUGCACGUGUAUGAUUUUUUAGCAUUGUGAGUUCUCAUGUGGUUAUUAAGACAUGAAAGAUAUCCAAAUGCUUUCCCACAAAUCUUGCACUCACAGGUCUUCUCUUCAGCAUGCAACUUCAGAUGCCCAUUAAGGUUGGAAGAAAUAGCAAAGGCUUUCCCACAUUUCACACACACAAAAGGCUUCUCUCCUGUGUGAGUUCUUAUAUGUUGGAUCAGUCGAGAGGACGUAAGAAAGGCUUUCCCGCACUCCUUACACCCAUAGGGCUUGUCUCCAGUGUGAGACCUUACAUGGAUACUAAGACCUGAGUGCUGAGUGAAGGCUUUCCCACACUGACUACAUACAUAGGGCUUCUCUCCUGUGUGAGUUCUUCCAUGGAUCUGAAAUGAAUUGGAAUAAUUGAAGGCUUUCCCACACUCCUUACAUUCAUAGGGCUUUUCGCCAGUGUGGGUUCGCAUGUGAAUAUUUAGAUAUGCAGGAUAUCGAUAGCCUUUCCCACAUUCCUUACAUCUGUGAGGUUUCUUUGCAUUGAGAGUUUCUAUAAGCACAGCAAGUCUUGAGUUUAUAAAACUUCUCCCACACUCAUUCCAUUCAUAAAGUUUGUCUCCACUGUGAGUUCUCUGGUGUGUCUGAAGCAUUAGAAAGUCUUUUCUGUACUGACUACAACCAUAAUUAUCCUGUGCAGGUUGAGUUUUCAUAUCUGUCCUGAGGGGUGAGAGUUCACUGAAGAAGUCUCCAUAUUGCGUCCCAUCACAGAGCUCCCUUCCUC